AAAGUCAUAACAAGGUUUCCGUAGGUGAACCUGCGGAAGGAUCAUUAGUGAUUUGGCCGAGAGGCCCCUAUCCAAUCCUCACACCUGUGAACUCGUCGGUGGGCCUGGCCCGCCGGACAUACAAGCUAUGUGUAAUGAACGUAUCAUAUCGUGACAAACAAAACUUUCAACAACGGAUCUCUUGGCUCUC
rnacentral:misc_RNA from 1 species